AAAAAAAACUAAAAAAACUCUCUCCCCUCUCUCUUUCUCUAUUCCUCUCUCCGGCCAGGGGUGCGGCGGCCGGAGGGCCAAAAAAAUCUCCUUUUCCAGCGAUCUAAAAGCAGGUACUCUUCCCUUUUUUUUUAACUCUCUUUGUAUAUAUAUAUAUAUGUUAUGUAUAAAAACUUGUAAAUGGAUGAGUGGUUUCGAAAUAUAAAAAAAUAAAAAAAAGAAGAGACCUUGGAUCCUUCUCUGCCUUUUUUGCUUCAAUCUGUUUCUCCUUUUCUUUAUAUUUCUAAAUGAUGUGUUUACAAAAGAAAAUAGGGGGGGGGGGAAGGCCCAAAACGAUAGCCGAAUUCGGCUUUUAUACAUCUGUUUUAGUGCUGUCAUUUCUCUUUAAUUGUUUGCAGGCACUCGAUGGCAUGACAAUGGCGAUGGAGCAGAGGCAAGUGGAGGGCUUGUACACUAAUAUUUAUUUAAUUCAUCAAAUAAUAAUCAAAUUACAAAAUGAAUUAUACCAUUAUAGAUAAAUCAGUUAUAGUGUUUUAUUUAAUUCAGUUAUAGUGCCGAAUAAUAAGACAUGGAUUCUAAACCACUAGAAUUAUUGAUAAUCAUAGAUCUACAAAACCAAACCCAAAAUUAUAAUGAUAGAAUUAAUAAGCAUCCGAUAUUGAAUGGAAAGACUGGAAGUGAAGACAUCAAAUAAUGCUACACAUGAAAAUCAAGUUGAAGAACUAGCAUGGAGUCCAACAAUUUCCCCUGACUUCUGAGAUUGAAAUUUGGCUUCAUCAUCCAUAUACAGAUCAUGCUCCUUGAGUUGCAGCAGAGAGAUAGCUUGGAGACGAUUUGCUACUGGUCUUUUCCGGGAAUGAAACUCUUGAGACGCAGACUUCAUUGUUGGUCGGAACUUUGGGUUCGACCUUAAGCAAGCAAAGGCCACUGUUGCAGCAAAAACAAUAUCCCUUGCAACUCUUCGAUCGCUUGGAAGCGAUAAACGUGGAUCUAAAAUAUCACUUAACAUAAUAUUCUUGGAAACUGAUGCCGAUAGUGAUACCAAGAGUUCACCAGGAUGUUUUCCCAUGAGUGUUUCAAGUGCCAAUACUCCAAAACUAUAGACAUCGCAUUUUUCAGUUACAACCAUAGUAUAAGUGUACAAGCCCAAUUUUUAACCGAG
rnacentral:lncRNA from 1 species